rnacentral:lncRNA from 10 species
UUGGGAAAAUAUGUUUCAAUGUGCUCUAAAAUUUUUAAUGUUUUUGCUCAAACUGACUUUUCUACAUGCAUGAUCAAAGGAUGAGGUUUUCCUCAUGUGUUUAUAGGUCUUUUUAAAAUUUAUUUAUUGACAUAUCAAAAUUGUAUAUAUCUAUCAUUGUACAAUAUAAUUUUUAAAACAAAUUUUAUUGUGUAUACUUAAUGAAUAAAACAUGAUUGUAUGAGAUAUAUAUACUGUACAGUAACAUUGUUACAACAGUGAGUCAAAUUAAUAUCAUCUCCAUAGUUACCCCUCCACUUCCCUAAGCAAGAGCAACUAUAAUCCACUCAUUCAGCAAAAGUCUUGAAAAUGAUACACUAUUAGUAACUGUUAUAGUAGAUAUUUGUAUAAACCACAUUGUGUUCUGCUUCUCUGUCCUGUUGAAUUAAUUUUAAACAAUUUAUACUAGUUAGAUGCUGGCAAUUUUAUCAUGACAGUGUAUAAGCAUAAUAAUUGAAGAUUUUUCUCUUAGAGCUGUUAUAGUAUGGAUGUCCCCUCCAAAACUCAUUUUGAACUUUAAUUGCCAUUGUGUCAGUAUUAAAAAGUGGGACAUUUAAGACAUGAUUAAGCAUGAAGAUCCUGCCCUCAUUAAUGGAUUAAUGUUAUUAUCUUAAGAAUGGGUUAGUGAUUGUGGAAGUGGGCUCCUGAUAAGGGCAUAAGUUCAGCCUGAUUUCCUCCUUCUGUUUCCCACUUGCACCAUUUGAUGCCUUUCAUCACAGUAUGAUACAGCAAGAAGGCCCUCACCAGAUGCAGCCCAUUGAUCUUGGACUUCCCAGCCUUCAGAUCAAUAAGCCAAAUAAACUUCUAUUCUUUAUGAAUUACCUCGUCUAUGGUAUUUUGUUAUACCAGCAGAAGAUGGACUAAAAUAAGGACCAUGGAUAGACAGCAUGUUUUAGUAAAGGGAUAAAUAGUCAAGGAAUCUGAACCUAAAAGUUUAC